GUCAAUUUGCCGGUGUGAGGAACGAUUAAGGUGUGGGGUGCGCGAGAUCCGGAGGAAGGUUUCUGUGGUCCGGCGGUUUUGUUUGUUGCCGGUGGAAGGGUUUGUGGUGGUGGUCGACGUGAAAUCGCGGUUUGGAAGUGGAUCGACGGAGGGUUAACGGUGAAGAAGGUGAGUUUAGGGGUUUGACGGCGAAGGGUUAACGGUGAAGAGGGUGAGUUUAGGGGUUUGACGGCGAAGGGUGGUUUAGUGGAUGAAGGAUGAUGAAGAUGAUUGAUGGUGGGUUUGCGUUCGGAGAGAGAAAGGAAACUGGAAGUUAAGGGUUGAGGUUAGUUUCGAAGGAGGGUUUUGGUGAGGAUGAGUGAAGAAGGUUUGUGAGUGAGGUGGGUCGUGCGGUGGUUGGUAGGCGAUUUGAAGGACGGCGGUGGCGUAUGGGUUUGUGGUAGCGGAAGAAAGAUGAAGGGUGAGGAGAUGAAGACGGUUGUUUGAAGGUUGUGGGAAAGAAGAAGAAGGUUCAUGAGAAUUUGAGAGUGAGAGAAUGAAGGUGAUGAUUUGAGUGUAGUCGUGAGAGAGAGGGUAGUGUAGUGAGUGUGGAAUAGUGACCGGUUGUUAUGAGUGGUGAGGAGGGAUUUGUGAGGUGAGUUGAUUUUU
rnacentral:lncRNA from 1 species